rnacentral:rRNA from 1 species
CAGUGAGGAAUAUUGGUCAAUAGCCUGACGGCUGAAUCAGCAACUUGGAAGAAUGUAUAACGAACAAUUCGUAUAAAAUUCUAGAUAGAAAACUGAUAAUGACAACUGUCUAUCUAUUAGUCUUGACCAAAUUACGUGCCAGCAGUCGCGGCAACACGCAGAAGACAAGUGUUAUUCAUCUUUAAUCGGUUUAAAGGGUACCUAGACGGGAAAUCAAGCCAUAGUAGGGACUAAUUUUCUAGAGUUUUAUGGAAGAAAGUCGAAUGUCUGGAGUAGAGAUAUAAUAUUGUGAUACUAGAUGGACGGACAACGGCGUAGGCAACUUUCUAUGUAAAAACUGACGUUGAGGGACGAAGCCCUGGGUAGCAAUAAGGAUUAGGUACCCCAGUAGUCCAGGGAGACAAUGAUGAGUGCCAUAGGCUAGAUAAAUUAGCCUAUAAAUGAAAGUGCAAGCAUUCCACCUCAAGACUAAAGCGGCAACGCCCAAAUUGAAAUCAUUAGACCGUUCCUGAAACCAGUAGUGAAGUAUGUUAUUUAAUUCGAUGAUCCGCGAAUAACCUUACCACGUUUUGAAUA